CAGUCGCCGCGGGAAUACGUAGGGUGCGAGCGUUAAUCGGAAUUACUGGGCGUAAAGCGUGCGCAGGCGGUUAUAUAAGACAGAUGUGAAAUCCCCGGGCUCAACCUGGGACCUGCAUUUGUGACUGUAUAGCUAGAGUACGGUAGAGGGGGAUGGAAUUCCGCGUGUAGCAGUGAAAUGCGUAGAUAUGCGGAGGAACACCGAUGGCGAAGGCAGCCCCCUGGGCCAACACUGACGCUCAUGCACGAAAGCGUAGGGAGCAAACAGGAUUAGAUACCCGCGUAGUCCCUGUCUCUUAUAC
rnacentral:rRNA from 1 species